ACGGGUGAGUAAUACAUCGGAACGUAUCCUGGAGUGGGGGAUAGCCCGGCGAAAGCCGGAUUAAUACCGCAUACGCUCUGAGGAGGAAAGCGGGGGACCUUCGGGCCUCGCGCUCAAGGGGCGGCCGAUGGCGGAUUAGGUAGUUGGUGGGGUAAAGGCCUACCAAGCCGACGAUCCGUAGCUGGUCUGAGAGGACGACCAGCCACACUGGGACUGAGACACGGCCCAGACUCCUACGGGAGGCAGCAGUGGGGAAUUUUGGACAAUGGGGGCAACCCUGAUCCAGCAAUGCCGCGUGUGUGAAGAAGGCCUUCGGGUUGUAAAGCACUUUUGUCCGGAAAGAAAUCAUCGGGGCCAAUACCCCUGGUGGAUGACGGUACCGGAAGAAUAAGCACCGGCUAACUACGUGCCAGCAGCCGCGGUAAUACGUAGGGUGCGAGCGUUAAUCGGAAUUACUGGGCGUAAAGCGUGCGCAGGCGGUGCUGUAAGACCGAUGUGAAAUCCCCGGGCUGGACCUGGGAACUGCAUUGGUGACUGCAGCGCUGGAGUAUGGCAGAGGGGGGUGGAAUUCCACGU
rnacentral:rRNA from 1 species